UACGGGGGGUGCGAGCGUUGUCCGGAAUCACUGGGCGUAAAGGGCGCGUAGGUGGCCCGUUAAGUGGCUGGUGAAAUCCCGCGGCUCGACUGCGGGGCUGCCGGUCAUACUGGCGAGCUAGAGCACGGUAGGGGCAGAUGGAAUUCCCGGUGUAGCGGUGGAAUGCGUAGAGAUCGGGAGGAACACCGGUGGCGAAGGCGGAUCUCUGGGCCAUUACUGACGCUGAGGAGCGAAAGCGUGGGGAGCGAACAGG
rnacentral:rRNA from 1 species